rnacentral:tRNA from 1 species
AAGGCUUUAAGUUAAAAAAACUAAUAGCCUUCAAAGCUGUAAAUAAAAUGAAGUUUUAAGCCUUA